rnacentral:rRNA from 1 species
GAGGGUUUCCGCCCUUCAGUGCUGCAGCUAACGCAUUAAGUAAUCCGCCUGGGGAGUACGACCGCAAGGUUGAAACUCAAAAGAAUUGACGGGGGCCCGCACAAGCGGUGGAGCAUGUGGUUUAAUUCGAAGCUACGCGAAGAACCUUACCAGGUCUUGACAUCUUCUGCCAACCUAAGAGAUUAGGCGUUCCCUUCGGGGACAGAAUGACAGGUGGUGCAUGGUUGUCGUCAGCUCGUGUCGUGAGAUGUUGGGUUAAGUCCCGCAACGAGCGCAACCCUUAUUACUAGUUGCCAGCAUUCAGUUGGGCACUCUAGUGAGACUGCCGGUGACAAACCGGAGGAAGGUGGGGACGACGUCAAAUCAUCAUGCCCCUUAUGACCUGGGCUACACACGUGCUACAAUGGAUGGUACAACGAGUUGCGAAACCGCGAGGUUUAGCUAAUCUCUUAAAACCAUUCUCAGUUCGGACUGUAGGCUGCAACUCGCCUACACGAAGUCGGAAUCGCUAGUAAUCGCGGAUCAGCAUGCCGCGGUGAAUACGUUCCCGGGCCUUGUACACACCGCCCGUCACACCAUGAGAGUUUGUAACACCCAAAGCCGGUGGGGUAACCUUUUAGGAGCUAGCCGUCUAAGGUGGGACAGAUGAUUAGGGUGAAGUCGAAGA